AUGCGUGUUGUAGUUAAUAGAAUUCCCCUUGAUGAGAGGAGUGAUCGUAUCUUUUGGGGACUCAACCAGAAUGGCAAGUUCACCACUAAGUCAGUGUAUAAGAUGUUGGAGAAACCUCUAAGUGGGUGCCAUUAUAGAUGGAUUUGGAAAACCAAGAUCCCUCUUAAAAUCAAAAUCUUUCUAUGGCAGAUGUUGCAAGACGCAGUCCUUACUAGGCAAGUUAUGAGCAAAUGGAAAUGGACAGGGAAUCCCUGA
rnacentral:rRNA from 1 species